CCUACGGGAGGCAGCAGUGGGGGAUAUUGCACAAUGGGGGCAACCCUGAUGCAGCGACGCCGCGUGAGUGAAGAAGUAUUUCUGUAUGUAAAACUCUAUCAGCAGGGGAGAAAAUGACAGUACCUGACCAAGACGCACCGGCUCACUCCGUUCCAGCAGCCGCGGUAAGACGUAGGGGGCAAGCGUUAUCCGGAUUUACUGGGUGUAAAGGGAGCGUAGACGGUUAUGUAAGUCAGGAGUGAAAGCCCGGGGCGCAACCUCGGGACUGCUUUUGAAACUGUGCAACUGGAGGGUAGGAGGGGCAGGCGGAAUGCAUGGUGUAGCGGUGAAAUGCGUAGAGAUCAGGAGGAACACCGGCUGCGAAGGCAGCCUGCUGGACUGAAACUGACGUUGAGGCUCGAAAGCGUGGGGAGCAAACAGGAUUAGAUACCCUGGUAGUC
rnacentral:rRNA from 1 species